rnacentral:rRNA from 1 species
CCUACGGGAGGCAGCAGUGGGGAAUUUUCCGCAAUGGGCGCAAGCCUGACGGAGCAACGCCGCGUGAGGGAUGAAGGCCUCUGGGCUGUAAACCUCUUUUAUCAAGGAAGAAGAUCUGACGGUACUUGAUGAAUAAGCCACGGCUAAUUCCGUGCCAGCAGCCGCGGUAAUACGGGAGUGGCAAGCGUUAUCCGGAAUUAUUGGGCGUAAAGCGUCCGCAGGCGGUCUUGUAAGUCUGUCGUUAAAGCGUGGAGCUUAACUCCAUUUAAGCGAUGGAAACUGUAAGACUAGAGUGUGGUAGGGGCAGAGGGAAUUCCCGGUGUAGCGGUGAAAUGCGUAGAUAUCGGGAAGAACACCAGUGGCGAAGGCGCUCUGCUGGGCCAUAACUGACGCUCAUGGACGAAAGCCAGGGGAGCGAAAGGGAUUAGAUACCCCUGUAGUCCUGGCCGUAAACGAUGAACACUAGGUGUCGGGGGAAUCGACCCCCUCGGUGUCGUAGCCAACGCGUUAAGUGUUCCGCCUGGGGAGUACGCACGCAAGUGUGAAACUCAAAGGAAUUGACGG